GACGAACGCUGGCGGCGUGCUUAACACAUGCAAGUCGAACGGAAAGGCCUCUUUCGGGGGGUACUCGAGUGGCGAACGGGUGAGUAACACGUGAGUAACCUGCCCUUGACUUUGGGAUAACUUCAGGAAACUGGGGCUAAUACCGGAUAGGAGCUCCUGCUGCAUGGUGGGGGUUGGAAAGUUUCGGCGGUUGGGGAUGGACUCGCGGCUUAUCAGCUUGUUGGUGGGGUAGUGGCUUACCAAGGCUUUGACGGGUAGCCGGCCUGAGAGGGUGACCGGCCACAUUGGGACUGAGAUACGGCCCAGACUCCUACGGGAGGCAGCAGUGGGGAAUAUUGCACAAUGGGUGGGAGCCUGAUGCAGCAACGCCGUGUGCGGGAUGACGGCCUUCGGGUUGUAAACCGCUUUCGCUCAUGACGAAGCUUUGUGUGACGGUAGUGGGUAAAGAAGCACCGGCUAACUACGUG
rnacentral:rRNA from 1 species